UGAUGAUGAUGAUGAUGAUGAUGAUGAUGAUGAUAUUCAUCAUCACGCCUUAGAACCACCGUUGUGGGGCUUUGGCUUGACAGAAUAAAGAAGACACUUAGGGCCUAGACGUGGGCCCCUGGUGGGUAAGUGCCGUAAUUCUUCAGGAACAUCAUCAUCAUCAUCAUCAGACGUU
rnacentral:pre_miRNA from 1 species